GCGCUUACGUUGGCAGUACAUAUACUAAAACUGGAAGAAUACAGAGAAGAUUAGCAUGGCCUCUGGGCAAGGAUUACACACAAAUUUGUGAAGUGUUUCAUGUUUUU